CACCUGGCCGUCCCCUACAGAUAGAGACAGAGAGAGACAGAGAGAGAGAGACCGAGACAGACGGGGAAGCAAACACAGCCACACGGAGACAGAUCGACAGAUGGAUGUGCCCUCAUCCAUGACAGCCACCCAAGCAUCGUGACCACGGAGUCCCCUGUCAAGACAGUGAUUGUACCUGGUACCUUGUACUUUUUUAGUAUCUGUCCUGGCGAGGUUCUAAGCGAGCUGAAUGUAGUUCCAGUACUUUUGUCCAUAACUUGAAGGACGUGCCUCACCGUCCAUGUCCAGUCUCUGCAUGAUAAUGGCCAGCUCCACUUCACUUGGCAUGUAACCGAGGGAGCGCAUGGCCAUGCCCAGCUCCUGUUUGGAGAUGAAACCAUUCCCGUCGCGAUCCAAAACACGGAAAGCCUCGCGGAUCUCUGCACGACAAAACACACAUGAUAUGCUGGGACCGGCUCAUUAUAUUUGGUAAGUUAUUCAGAAAAUUCUUUUAAUACUCACUGUAAGUGCAAUAAAUCUGCCUCGUAAUUAUGAUUGGUUGUUUGUUAAAAUUUCUGACACCAUGUUUAAUCCUUGUGUUUUAUGCGAUGUCUGCUAUAAUUGAAUUGUAAAUAGUGCUUAUUACACUGCUGGCACUCGUUUUUAAGCAAAAACACCAGCAGCAGUAUGUUUGUUUCUUGCAGUUAAAAUGACGUGUUCUCACAUUUUUCUUUUUGUGGUUGUGUGAAUAAUGGUUGUAUUCCCGGGAUUACUGUUCCCCAGGAGCAAAGGCAGGAGAUGUAAUAAUAGUGUCAGAAAAACCUCUCACGGGGGAAGUUGAGGUCGGUGAUUUUUUAACGACAUGUUUUUUCGCCCCCUCUUCUUAUGUUCAGCGUUCAAUCAUCACCACAAUCACUCUCCUCCAACCCUGCAGCAACAACACUCAAUAUUUUUUAAUAUCAACAGCUAAUUAAUAUUUAAGAGGUCGUGGUCAUGGUUUCACCACCUGACCAUGCAGGUCGCUUCAUCCAUAAAGAGUUUGACCUCGUCAUUCUCCAGCCCACAGCUUCACUGCUUUGUCUCACACUAAUUGUAAUAUUUUCAGCUGCAAAAACGACUCUGGAAAAACCCACAGGCUUCGUGCUUUGAGCAACAAACAAAAUAUGCAGCUUUAGAAGCCAAAGGGACACAUAUUCCUCAGCAGGUGGUUAGAGAAAACAUACAUGAAUGCAGCGUUGAUCCAAAACGGUUGUGUAAAUGUGUAAAAUCUCUGAUGUCUCCUGUGUCAACAGGUCUGUUGCUCAACUGCCAAGUGUCCAAGAAUUAAAUUACCCAUACGUAUGCUAUCAAAUGUGCGGAUCACCAAAUUUGGUGCAGCAGAGGAGGACACAACUGAGGAGGCAGCGUAUGAUCCUUUGUGGCAAUCCCCCUAAAUGGAGGAGCCGAAAGUAGAAGAAGAUUAGGGUUCCAUAUAAGCCUAUUACAUGUAUUUUAUCCUUCACAAAGGUCCACCAUUUUGUGGCAUUAUGUUUCUACGGCUGCCCGGAAUGGACAAACCAGCCAGAGCGUGCAUUUUACAUUUUGAGGCGGAAGGUUACGGUCCAGACUAAGAAGAAUGACGUCCUUACUGGUAAGUAUAAACCACAUCAUGUGAUGUGUCACAUCUAAUUGUUACACAAUGGAACUAGGACCUGGUCAGUGUGGUAAAGACACAGCGGUAGCAGUACGUUUCUUUUACGGGAGAUUUUUGAUUAUCGGGUGAGAUGACCAUCGAUGGAAACUCUGGAGUCAAUGAAGACAUUACAUGUCAUUGAAGACAGCUCGAAUCCAAGGAGAACUGAACAGUAAGACAUCAUCACAUCAUCUGUAGUUAAUAAGCCUUGAGAUCGUGUAUCUGGUCCAGAUGCCUGGCACCUUUGUAUCUGGUGAGGGAACCUUGAAAGGCACCUAAGUUAUGGCUGUUUAUAUUGAACUCUGGGCCUGGUAAUAAGAAUAUGUGCGUAAUUAAACUUAAAGUUGGCUGAAGAUUAAAAUGUUCUCUCCCAGUUUCCACAGAUAACAACCCUGAGAAAAGUGUAGUGAAAGCAAAGGCUUAAGGGGGAUCAAUAUCACUGCGGGUAUCUUCUUUUUUAUAUCACACUUUGCAAACAGUUUAAACGCUCUAAUAUAAAUAGUAUCUAUUUCAGCUUUAAUGCAGACGAACCAUGCAGCUUCAGUGUGCCAUAUACAUACACACUGGUCUGAAUUAUAGGAUUCAUUUGGAGCUAAUGUCGUUUUGACAAUAGGGACAUUAUAGUAGGUCAAAUACUCACAAUAUUGGAAGUCAAAUGACAAACAACCAACCUGCUGUCUCGGUUUCAGAUUGCUGUUGAUUUUUAACAAGCUGUAACCACAAACCGCUAUUUCGGUCUCGCGUCUUUGUCCUCGUAAAACGCAAUCUUCAAAUGUAAACAGCGGGCGUUCAGAUGGUGUCGGGGAGAUGGACUAAUCCGUGAGAUGAGAUUAAUGAUUAACAGAUUUCAGCAGGUCUGUUGAUGUUGCUCGAAGGUGCUUUCCCCCCUGGUGCAGAUAACAAACUUCCCCAUUAUAUGGAAGUACUACAGCUUUCCUGUCAGGCAAAUCAAGGUGAGGGUGAACUCCCACAGAGCCUCUCUCUCCCUCGCUCCCCCUCUUGCCCUCUCCUUGUUUGUACUACAUCUUUAUUUACUUAUGGCACCUUACAAACCCUGAGGACCUCAUCCCAAUCUCUCCGUGCAGCACAAUCACCACCAGCAUUGCCAGGAGCAUUUCCGACUCUCUCCUCCCACACAAAAGGCUUCCUCCUAACUUGAAAUUGGCAGCUGUUUGUGCAAUAGAAUCACUCAAACCUCCGAGAACCAUAAAAACUACUCAAUCACUGCUUAAUUACCUGUCAGUCAAUCUGCACUGAGGCGUAAAUUGAUGAAGGUGGAGUUUUGGGUUGGAGGUGAUUGAAUGUACUCGACAGCCAGAGACAGAUAGUCUUUAUUUGACAUCUUUGCACAUGUAAUUUUUCUGUGGACUUUUACACUUCGGGGGAUGAGAGACACAGCGCUUUGGCUGGGACUCAACUGAAACAAAACCAAAAGAAGAGUAAUAGUCCACUAAAUGGUGGAAUUUAAAUCACAAUUUCCCAAAGACUAAUCAUUUCCCUUACUAAAACAAUGAAUUUUACAUGACGUUCAACUCUCCCUUUCCCUUGCUCCCUCUGUUUUUCCCUCUCAGGCUUGUCAUUAAUAUUCUCGUCCAGACAAGCUGCUCCUUCCCUGCUCGCUGUAAUAAGUCUGCGUCUGAUCUGCCUUCCACGCUUGACUCUGCCCUGUAAGUUGAGUUGUGAGAGCCACUUGUGACCUGGUUCAUGAGCCAUGUGCAGAAAUAUGGGUGAGAUCGCAAACGAUUUAACAAUAAAAUAAAAUUUAAGGUUAAGGCAACUUUAUUAAGCCUUGUGGGGAAAUUCAUCCUCUGCGUUUUACCCAUCAUCAACUCACAACUUUCCGAGAACUAACAGCAGUGGGCAGCACCCAGGGACCAAAGGGUUAACCAAUUAUCAUUAACUAAUAAUUAAUAAACAACUACUAUGCUCGUCUGAGAAUGGACGGAUCUUUGGGCUGGGGAGCAUGAGGGAAAUGAGUGCACAACUCUCCGUGGACAGGAAAGUCAGGAUCAGUGUUAAGUGACCUUAAAGAUUAGUUACUGGUUAUUUAAUCAUUAAUGAUUAGUUAACCUUUUUGAGUAUAUUUUAUUGUGAAGUAUCACAGAAUUUGAUAGAUACUGUCAAUAAGAUAAAUCAUAAUCCAAUCCAAUUUAUUUAUAAAGUACAUUUAAAAAACAACAACA